rnacentral:snRNA from 1 species
CCUGUUACUUUAGUCUUUAUA